CUGCCACGAGAUACGCAUUCAAUAUCCGGGCGAGUCGCAGUGUGAGGGGGCCGAGUGUAUUUCUCCAAAGGAUCCGCACCCUGUAUGACGUAUGAAAAAAUGAGCAAAAUUGUUUUGCCACAUGCCAGCGAAAUUCCUCCUGGCAAGGCACCAGCUUUCCAGAUGGCAGGACUUGAAGAGGGCCAUUGUUGCGCUGCACGAUCUUGGGAAACUUCAAAAACACGUGACGUGCGAGUUUGGCUCAUUCACACUAUGGACUGCGUUUCCAGGUAACAGUGGGACGAGGGGAUAUAUAAGGUCAGACAGAGUGUCGGAGAGUACCCCAGAAGAUUAAAAUUCGUGCCAUGAACUUCAGUGUGCGAAAAUUGGUUCUCGUUCAGAUCGCCCUGGUCUCUGUGGCGUCAUGGGCGAGAGGGCAAGACCCGAGCACGAACAACAUGCUGGAGAUGGGACAGAUGCAGCCGCCGGUGCAGCAGCCACAACUCAAUUUCGACACUUUCACAGGGCCCGGCAACUCAGCUAUUCCUGAAGGGCAGCAACCCUUCAACACGGUGGCCGCCGACGCAACCGCAACCGCCGCCUCCACCGGAGUAGGGAGCUCCACCACCCUCACCGAUGCCGCCUCCACGAUCACCGAUGCCGCCGCCUCCACCGUCCAGCAGCCUGUGGUCAACCCCCUUCCCGUGACCAACCCCCUCCCCGUGACCAACCCCCUCCCCGUGACCAACCCCCUUCCUGUGACCUACCCCCUCCCCGCGACCAGCCCCCUCCCUGUAACCAACCCUCUCCCUGUGCCUAGCUCAGAGAGCCAACAGAAUAACGGCGUAAGACCGCCGCGCCCCCUCCCAAAACCAGGGCAGAUCCCUCCUGGCAUGAGCCCUUUGUUGGCCCUCCUCAAGGCCAUCUUCGGCGGCCCAGGCGGCAUCAAGGUCAUCGGCGGCCCCGGGGUCGGUCCCAUAGAAGACGGCCCCCUCGGAGUUGGAGGUCCCGGCGGGCAUGGUGGUCCGUUCGGAGGGAUGGGCGGCCCGCCGCGGAGGAUUAGGAUCAUGAUCCUUCGCAAGCCUAGAGGAGGACGAUUCCCGCCAGGAUUUGGCGGGCCAGAGGGAAUCCCAGGCUUCGGGGGCGGUUUCGGAGGUAAUGGCGGAGAUUUCGCUACUAACGGAGGAGGUUUUGGAGGAGGCAGUGGAGAAAUCGGGGAAGGGUUUGGGGGCCGUUUUGCGGGAAUGGGGUUCAAUUAGGCCAGUAUUAGUUUGAGGACUGUUUGUUGUUGCCAUCCCAAGUGACUGUUUGAACUUGGUUCCUUAAAGUACUAAAGGCCGUGGCAAGUAAAAAAAUAAUUCUCUUUUUAAGUGGGUUUUAGUGGGGGAAGGUACUGCUGACAUUUUCGCUUGAAACUGUUUGAAAAUGUUCUUAAAAGAGAGGGAAAAAACACAUGGACUUUCGUGAAAUAGUGAUGAACGAUCGCCCCUCAACAAGGCAAAAUUUUAGGAUCUGGGGUAGGUACAGAACUUCUUCACUCAACAAACACUUUAAAUGGUGGCAGAUGAUCGCGUGAAAAAGCCCAUCGAACUUUAGAACUAUUUCGAAGAAUGAAUUAAAAGCAUAGUACGUUGGAUACAAUUAGAAAAUUUGGGGAAGGAGUUUUAAAAAUGCUUAGAAAUGAACCUUUUUAGGAGCCUAUUUAUUUGACGGUUUUUAUACCCUAGCCACGGAGGGUGCGAAGUGUGAGAUCUAAUGAAAACACGAAAUUCUGCUGAUCAGUACCUAUGUAAAAUUUACGCUGUUUUAAUAUUUCUAAAAAAAUACUGCUGACAUUUUCGAUUGAAACUUUUGUCAACUAUUCUCAAAGGAGCGGGAAAAACACGGGCUUUUGUGCAAUAACGAUGAUCGAUCGCCCCGCAACAAGGCGAAAUGCGAGGAAAAUUGUAGGAAAAAAUCAAGUGACGUGUUUCUCUCGUUACUGCAUCGCGCUGUGACACAAAUUUUCACAAGCUUUUCACCUCGUUCAUGGAGUGUGGUGAUUAUUCAGCAACCUUUUCAAUACCUUGAUCGUUUAAAUUUUCACUCAGUGCGAAGAGUGUUUUGAAUUUUCAAUAAAUAAUCAUCAAAAAGAUCUCAUGACAUAGAUUACUGUCUUUUAAUAUUGCUGCUUAAUCCGAUUUGUAUACGUAGCACUUAAUAUUAUAAUGUUAAAUUACAGGCAAAAAUCCCGCGAGUGAUGAUUCACGUUUUGAGUUUAGGACGUUCGUGAAUUUAAACUCCCUUCAAGUGAUAUUGUAUUGUUACGGCCUAUAGAAUAAGUGGUAAAUCAUUGUUCCUACUUGUUAUCCAGUUCAAAUUAAACUGCGGAAAGUCGCUUCAACAACCUCAUUGUAUUUUAUGUUAAAGUGCUCCCACUUAAUUACCCUAGGGGCUCAUUCUCUUUGGCUGGCAUGAAGGCGCAGGACAGAAACUUCUAAUGAGCGUCACCGAGGGAGGUUUUUGAGGGUUCUGCAGUUGCUCAAGACGUACUGGGAGAUAUUUAACACCGCAGAUCCAAUAACUGUCAAAAUUUCCACUCAUAUCAGUUGUAUCUAUUCUCAUAUCAAAGGGCCAAAACGAAUUGAGAGAUUCUACUGGUAUCUUAUUGAUAUUAUUCUAUUACCGAAAAAAAAGAAAAAAAUCGCGCGCCAGAUAGACCUAAGGUUUGGGUCUUAUGGAUCUCUGAAGUUUUUCAGAUCGCACAUUCGAAAACUUGGUGUACCUACAUUCGCUGAAGUUCGGGUCAUACAUCUGAAGUACCUACUUCGGUGAUUUUCAGGUGAAAUUCCUGUGGAGUCAACCGAACUUGAGGUAUGUGACCCAAGGUUACGGAUUAUUUGUACGCUAAAAAAAGUUGGAUAAGUUCAGCUAUUCAGCUCUCCGGUCUCCAAUAGCGAUAGGAAACAUACAAAUAGGAUUAAUAUAGGAAUAUACAUUUAAAGGAAAAAAGAUCCUGAUAUAUUUCAAACCAAUCGGACCAUUUUUAGAACUCACGCCGACGAAUUUUAUUCAUAAAAAUCUCGAGUUGUCAAUUUUAAUCAUUGAGUAACCGUUCCCAUGAUCAAAAAUUGCCUUUCAUAUAAGAAAAACACGUCUCAGCAAAAUAGUGCAUCAAUAAAAAAAGUGAAGAGCGUGGAAUUUCACAUAAGAAUCGUUUUCGAGGUGAGCAUUUUUCUCAAAAAUAUCACUGAUUAAGUGCAUUCAUCGGAACAGAUUUUCUUCGAGGUCGGAAUCGAUUGUGCUUGCUCCCGUAUGGAAUUAGAAAAAAAAGUCCAACGAUUUAGAAAAAGUUGCACAAAAUUUUGAGAAGAAUUAUUGUUGUUUAGUUUCUUAAAACAAAUAAAUAAUUAUAAAACACGAGUGGAAGUGUUGUAAUGUUUCAGUCUGCAAUAAUUAGGCUUUUUUUGAGUGCAGCCUUCGAUUUUGGAUACCAUUUAAGGAAGGCGUUUGUGAGAUAACUAUUCGACCCUGGCUGAUGCUCAAAUUGCCGCUAUUCGGAAUUGAAGGCGCUUCACUUUGCGACGAUGACUCGUUCACGUUGCGCUGCGCUGGUUGGUGCUGGGUGGUAACAGCGCUAUUAAACUGAGACCAUGCGUCCUAUCAUUCCCGACUUGCGUUUUCUUAUCAUUUUUAUCAUAAUCUUAGGAAAAAUACUAUCUUAAUUGCAACAUUUCAGAAUCUCGGACCAUGUUGGUUAAAAAAGGGGGGAAAGGAGAACUAACUAGGGUAUUGUAUCGAAC
rnacentral:lncRNA from 1 species